rnacentral:rRNA from 1 species
GAUGAACGCUGGCGGCAUGCCUAAUACAUGCAAGUCGUGCGAGAAACUACUUUCGGGUAGUGGAAAGCGGCGGACGGGUGAGUAACGCGUAGAAACAUACCCCAAGGUGAGGGAUAAGCAUCGGAAACGGUGUCUAAUACCGCAUACUGUCUACGGACAAAAGAUUUAUCGCCAUGGGAAUGGUCUGCGUCUGAUUAGCUAGUUGGUAGGGUAAAGGCCUACCAAGGCGAUGAUCAGUAGCUGGUUUGAGAGGAUGAUCAGCCACACUGGAACUGAGACACGGUCCAGACUCCUACGGGAGGCAGCAGUGGGGAAUAUUGCACAAUGGGCGCAAGCCUGAUGCAGCCAUGCCGCGUGUGUGAAGAAGGCCUUCGGGUUGUAAAGCACUUUCAGCGGGGAGGAAGGCGAUAAGGUUAAUAACCUUGUCGAUUGACGUUACCCGCAGAAGAAGCACCGGCUAACUCCGUGCCGGCCGCCGCAGUAA